GUGUCAGCCGCCGCGGUAAUACGUAGGGGGCCAGCGUUGUCCGGAUUUAUUGGGCGUAAAGAGCGUGUAGGCGGCCAUGUAGGUCUGAUGUGAAAACUGGAGGCUCAACCUCCAGCUGUCAUUGGAAACCAUGUGGCUAGAGUCCGGAAGAGGAGAGUGGAAUUCCUGGUGUAGCGGUGAAAUGCGCAGAUAUCAGGAAGAACACCGAUGGCGAAGGCAGCUCUCUGGGACGGUACUGACGCUGAGACGCGAAAGCGUGGGGAGCGAACAGGAUUAGAUACCCUGGUAGUCCACGCCGUAAACGAUGGGUGCUAGGUGUGGGCGGUGUCGACUCCGUCCGUGCCGAAGCUAACGCAUUAAGCACCCCGCCUGGGGAGUACGGCCGCAAGGCUAAA
rnacentral:rRNA from 1 species